AGUGAACGCUGGCGGUAGGCCUAACACAUGCAAGUCGAACGGCAGCACAGGAGAGCUUGCUCUCUGGGUGUCGAGUGGCGGACGGGUGAGGAAUACAUCGGAAUCUACCUUUUCGUGGGGGAUAACGUAGGGAAACUUACGCUAAUACCGCAUACGACCUACGGGUGAAAGUGGGGGACCGCAAGGCCUCACGCGAUUAGAUGAGCCGAUGUCCGAUUAGCUAGUUGGCGGGGUAAUGGCCCACCAAGGCGACGAUCGGUAGCUGGUCUGAGAGGAUGAUCAGCCACACUGGAACUGAGACACGGUCCAGACUCCUACGGGAGGCAGCAGUGGGGAAUAUUGGACAAUGGGCGCAAGCCUGAUGCAGCCAUACCGCGUGGGUGAAGAAGGCCUUCGGGUUGUAAAGCCCUUUUGUUGGGAAAGAAAAACUGUCGAUUAAUACUCGGUGGGGAUGACGGUACCCAAAGAAUAAGCACCGGCUAACUUCGUG
rnacentral:rRNA from 1 species